GACGAACGCUGGCGGCGUGCCUAAUACAUGCAAGUAGAACGCUGAAGAGAGGAGCUUGCUCUUCUUGGAUGAGUUGCGAACGGGUGAGUAACGCGUAGGUAACCUGCCUUGUAGCGGGGGAUAACUAUUGGAAACGAUAGCUAAUACCGCAUAACAAUGGAUGACACAUGUCAUUUAUUUGAAAGGGGCAAUUGCUCCACUACAAGAUGGACCUGCGUUGUAUUAGCUAGUAGGUGAGGUAAUGGCUCACCUAGGCGACGAUACAUAGCCGACCUGAGAGGGUGAUCGGCCACACUGGGACUGAGACACGGCCCAGACUCCUACGGGAGGCAGCAGUAGGGAAUCUUCGGCAAUGGGGGCAACCCUGACCGAGCAACGCCGCGUGAGUGAAGAAGGUUUUCGGAUCGUAAAGCUCUGUUGUAAGUCAAGAACGGGUGUGAGAGUGGAAAGUUCACACUGCGACGGUAGCUUACCAGAAAGGGACGGCUAACUACGUG
rnacentral:rRNA from 1 species